rnacentral:tRNA from 1 species
GGGGUUGUGGCUCAGCGGUAGAGCACUCGCUUAGCAUGUGUGAGGCCCUGGGUUCGAUCCUCAGCACCA